rnacentral:rRNA from 1 species
GUAGGGAAUUUUCGGCAAUGGGGGAAACCCUGACCGAGCAACGCCGCGUGAAGGAAGAAGUAAUUCGUUAUGUAAACUUCUGUCAUAGAGGAAGAACGGUGCGUGUAGGGAAUGACAUGCAAGUGACGGUACUCUAUAAGAAAGCCACGGCUAACUACGUGCCAGCAGCCGCGGUAAUACGUAGGUGGCGAGCGUUAUCCGGAAUUAUUGGGCGUAAAGAGGGAGCAGGCGGCACUAAGGGUCUGUGGUGAAAGAUCGAAGCUUAACUUCGGUAAGCCAUGGAAACCGUAGAGCUAGAGUGUGUGAGAGGAUCGUGGAAUUCCAUGUGUAGCGGUGAAAUGCGUAGAUAUAUGGAGGAACACCAGUGGCGAAGGCGACGAUCUGGCGCAUAACUGACGCUCAGUCCCGAAAGCGUGGGGAGCAAAUAGGAUUAGAUACCCCUGUAGUCC